UACGGAGGGUGCAAGCGUUAUCCGGAUUCACUGGGUUUAAAGGGUGUGUAGGCGGGUAUUUAAGUCAGUUGGUGAAAUCUCCAGGCUCAACCGUGAAACUCGCCAUUGAUACUAAUUUAUCUUGAAUAUUGUUGAGGUAGGCGGAAUAGUAUCGAUGUAGCGGUGAAAUGCUUAGAUAUGAUAUAGAACACCGAUUGCGAAGGCAACUUACUAAACAAUCAUUGACGCUGAGGCACGAAAGCGUGGGGAUCAAACAGG
rnacentral:rRNA from 1 species